UGUCCCUUGGGAAGGAAGAACUGAUACCUUGAUAUCACGGUUUGUACAUCCUAUAUAUACGACAAAUUUUAGAACAUUAUAUAACGAAGAACCAGAUCGUCGUGGCCAUGUGAUGUGAAUAAAAGGACUUGAAUUUGAUGAUAUUUUUAUAAUGUUAGAUAACAUAACUAAGUAUCUUCACAGUAAGAUAGGAUGACAUGGUUUACAUGAUCUUAAUGUUGUUCACUCGAGUGAUGAUAUUAUAAGGAAAAGUGUAAUAUCACAGGAUAUUUAUGUUUAGUAACCAGUAAUUCAGAGAUUGGUAUUCAUGGUUACUAUAACGAGGCUGUAGAAACGCACCCUUUCUUCUUUGCAAAUGGUCCUGUAUUUAUGUCUAAACCGAAACUGGAACCUCUGAAUAAUUUAGAUUUAUUCUUGUUAUUUUCUAAAAUACUUAUCUACAGUAUACCAUAAGGAAUGAUACCGUAUCGCACCUAAUCAAGUGCCUUAAGAAACAUCAACAGGAUAUCACAGUAAUCCCUUAUCGACUGAUAUUUGUAGCCACUACAAUAUCUAUGACACUGGUAGUAAUUAUAAGAACAAUAAUGAUGUUCUAUAAGAGGAAAUGAUGAUUAGGAACAAAAACUUACAGGAGAUAUCAUGCGGUGGAUGGAUAAUAUGUAAAAAAUAUUAAGCAGUAUAUGAAUUUUCAUAUUGCGUAGAGAUAACAAAAUGAAUUUUAAAAAAUGUCGACAUGGUAAUAAGAAAUAGCAUGAUGACAAAGAAUAUAUAAACACAGUUUCAUUUUUUAUAAAUAAAAAUUUGUUGUUCCAGAUUUUGAAAUAUAGUGAAACGUUUAAUUAGUAUCUUAAUAUCUUUAAAUAAUUAUUAUUUUAGAAUCAAUUGUAAUUGUAUCAUACGUACUUUUGAAUUCGUGCAAGAACAUAUGUUAUUUUGAAGUAGUUAUUAUUAGGAAAUUGUUAGACGCGAACAGUAUGCGAAA